rnacentral:lncRNA from 1 species
UGUUCUCUCUCAAGCUUGCUCAUGUGGACUUCAAAGGUUAUGGGUUGGGGUCUUUGGGUUCCCAAGCAGCCUAAAGUCUUAUAUAAUCUUGACUCCACCAUGUAGGCUCCAUCAACUUCCGUAACCAUCCAAACCCCAAUUCACUUGACAAGCCCAGGGCAUGUGACUUGGGCUUAUCUUGAUUAGCAUGAUAAAGCUUGGCAUGACGAAUAUGCAUGAGUUUGCACGAGCGUGGCUUGAUUUACACAAAUGCAUGGCUUAAUAACGUACCAUGGCAUGAUUACGAAUAUAAUCCCUUCUUGAUUCCGCACCUUGGUGUGUAUAUUGGGCUUGGCUUAAGGCUUGUAUGACAAUUGAUUGUUGAUGAUUCAUUGGCUUUCAUGUGACAUUUUUGGGCCUCAACAAUCUUUACCAAAAUCAAUAAUGAAAGAAUUUCAUAAAACAAGUUUGCCUCCAUUGUAUUGUCUUUGUCUAAUAAUAUAAUGCAAUG